rnacentral:rRNA from 1 species
GACGAACGCUGGCGGCGUGCUUAACACAUGCAAGUCGAGCGAGGCCCCUCCUUCGGGAGGGUGUCCUAGCGGCGAACGGGUGAGUAACACGUGGGCAACCUGCCCUCAGCUCUGGGAUAACUCCGGGAAACCGGGGCUAAUACCGGAUACGACCUCCACGGGCAUCUGCGGAGGUGGAAAGUUUUUCGGCUGAGGAUGGGCCCGCGGCCUAUCAGCUAGUUGGUGGGGUAGUGGCCCACCAAGGCGACGACGGGUAGCCGGCCUGAGAGGGCGACCGGCCACACUGGGACUGAGACACGGCCCAGACUCCUACGGGAGGCAGCAGUGGGGAAUAUUGCGCAAUGGGCGAAAGCCUGACGCAGCGACGCCGCGUGAGGGACGAAGGCCUUCGGGUUGUAAACCUCUUUCAGCAGGGACGAAGCGAAAGUGACGGUACCUGCAGAAGAAGCACCGGCAAACUACGUG